rnacentral:rRNA from 1 species
UACGUAGGGUGCAAGCGUUAAUCGGAAUUACUGGGCGUAAAGCGUGCGCAGGCGGUUUUGUAAGUCUGUUGUGAAAUCCCCGGGCUUAACCUGGGAAUGGCAAUGGAGACUGCAAGGCUAGAGUUUGGCAGAGGGGGGUAGAAUUCCACGAGUAGCAGUGAAAUGCGUAGAGAUGUGGAGGAACACCGAUGGCGAAGGCAGCCCCCUGGGUCAAGACUGACGCUCAUGCACGAAAGCGUGGGGAGCAAACAGG